rnacentral:rRNA from 1 species
AGAGUUUGAUCCUGGCUCAGGAUGAACGCUGACAGAAUGCUUAACACAUGCAAGUCUACUUGAAUUUGGGUUUUUAACUUAGAUUUGGGUGGCGGACGGGUGAGUAACGCGUAAAGAACUUGCCUCACAGCUAGGGACAACAUUUAGAAAUGAAUGCUAAUACCUAAUAUUAUGAUAAUAGGGCAUCCUAUAAUUAUGAAAGCUAUAUGCGCUGUGAGAGAGCUUUGCGUCCCAUUAGCUAGUUGGAGAGGUAACGGCUCACCAAGGCGAUGAUGGGUAGCCGGCCUGAGAGGGUGAUCGGCCACAAGGGGACUGAGACACGGCCCUUACUCCUACGGGAGGCAGCAGUGGGGAAUAUUGGACAAUGGACCGAGAGUCUGAUCCAGCAAUUCUGUGUGCACGAUGAAGUUUUUCGGAAUGUAAAGUGCUUUCAGUUGGGAAGAAAGAAAUGACGGUACCAACAGAAGAAGUGACGGCUAAAUACGUGCCAGCAGCCGCGGUAAUACGUAUGUCACGAGCGUUAUCCGGAUUUAUUGGGCGUAAAGCGCGUCUAGGUGGUUAUAUAAGUCUGAUGUGAAAAUGCAGGGCUCAACUCUGUAUUGCGUUGGAAACUGUAUAACUAGAGUACUGGAGAGGUAAGCGGAACUACAAGUGUAGAGGUGAAAUUCGUAGAUAUUUGUAGGAAUGCCGAUGGGGAAGCCAGCUUACUGGACAGAUACUGACGCUGAAGCGCGAAAGCGUGGGUAGCAAACAGGAUUAGAUACCCUGGUAGUCCACGCUGUAAACGAUGAUUACUAGGUGUUGGGGGUCGAACCUCAGCGCCCAAGCAAACGCGAUAAGUAAUCCGCCUGGGGAGUACGUACGCAAGUAUGAAACUCAAAGGAAUUGACGGGGACCCGCACAAGCGGUGGAGCAUGUGGUUUAAUUCGA